UACGUAGGUGGCGAGCGUUGUCCGGAUUUACUGGGCGUAAAGGAUGCGUAGGCGGAUAUUUAAGUGAGAUGUGAAAUACCCGGGCUUAACUUGGGUGCUGCAUUUCAAACUGGAUAUCUAGAGUGUGGGAGAGGAGAAUGGAAUUCCUAGUGUAGCGGUGAAAUGCGUAGAGAUUAGGAAGAACACCAGUGGCGAAGGCGAUUCUCUGGACCAUAACUGACGCUGAGGCAUGAAAGCGUGGGUAGCAAACAGG
rnacentral:rRNA from 1 species